rnacentral:rRNA from 1 species
CCUACGGGAGGCAGCAGUGGGGGAUAUUGCACAAUGGGGGAAACCCUGAUGCAGCGACGCCGCGUGAGUGAAGAAGGAUUGCGGGAUGUAAAGCUCUAUCAGCAGGGAAGAAAAUGACAGUACCUGACCAAGAAGCCCCGGCUAACGACGUGCCAGCAGCCGCGGUAAUACGUAGGGGGCAAGCGUGAUCCGGAUUGACUGGGUGUAAAGGGAGCGUAGACGGUUCUGUAAGUCUGGAGUGAAAGCCCGGGGCCCAACCCCGGGACUGCUUUGGAAACUGUGUAACUGGAGUACAGGAGGGGCAGGCGGCCUUCCUGUUGUAGCGGUGACAUGCGUCGCUCUCCGGAGGAACACCGGCGGC